AGAUGCAAAUUUGAGAAGCAGAAGAAGAGAGGAGCCAGAACACCCUCCUGAGUUGAUUGACGAUCCUCAACACAGCCUUCCAUACCCUCAAAUGGCCCCCACCAACUUCUACCUUGUGGUAAAAACAUCAAAAUCUGAGCAUCAUCCCUGAAAGGAUAGCUGAAAAAAGGCUUUUCUACAACUUGUCCUUCUCAAAAGCAAUUAAUUUCCACAUAAGAAAGUGUUAUUAGAGGGGCGCCUGGGUGGC